UUAACAUGUAAUUGUUAUCUGGUCACCAAUCAAACGCACCCGUUUCAGUUUUUUCCUUAGUUUCUAUUGAAAUUUUUGUUCUUCAUUGGUGGAUGUCGAGGCUGGCAAGAAUGGGAAAGGUUGCAGUGUUUAUCAACAAAGGCUUCAGUCAACAAAGCUCUCAGAGGUCAGAAUUGUUCUUUGAUUUGACGAGUGAAAUUAUAGAUUCUUUCUUUACCAUCUGUUACUUAAUAAAAAAGAUUUUGUUAUAAUGCUAAUUUGAUAUGCCUCAUCAUAGCCAUGGUUAGUGUUGGGCGCACGAAGUGCGCCGCCUGAUCAAUCUUUUGAUAAUAAAUUGUCAUCCACACACUUUUAUAUGCGCACGAAGUGCUGGUCUUUUGAAUAUACCAUCGACAAUUUUAUAUGUGCUGAGAUACCUGUUGCGACUUCUUUUUCCUUUUCAUAAUAAAUUCUAAAGUAUUUUGUUCAGAUAGCAUAUUCAAAGUUGUAGGUAAGCUCUACUCACCAAGCUGCUGGUCAAUCUUGAUAGUGUGCCUAAUUUUACUCUGAAAGGUGGCUCAUCAGGUACAAAGGUAACCUCUGGUUGGGAUCCACCAAUAUAAUCUUGAUAGUAUCCUGGGUGUCAAGCUAAGUAUCCUAGGCUGUUACAGCCACUAGAAGUACCUUUUUUAGGGAAGAAUACCAUGUUUAUAGCUAAACUUGAAACAAGUAAUAAGGAGCCAAGGCAUGAGUCUAUUCUGAAAUGAAAAGAAACUACAUCCCAGACUUUUACAGGUCUCAUCAGUGUUAUAUUAGUUUGAUUCAAAGGCACACUCUAAUACCUUGGAUGCUCUUUUUCACUUGUCUUCCUGCUAGAUUAGAUUCUGAGACCUGAGUCAAUGUUUGUGAGACUAAUAUGUCAAGUCAGUUGCAUCUCAUAAGUUCCUGCCAAAGUGCCCAUCAAGAACAAAGCUUGCUGGCGGGAUUUGGAAGGGCAAGCUGUAUCGACCACCUGUGGUCAUCUUUUAUCAGGUGCAGAUGAUGCUAGGAAAAUACUCAAUAAUGAUGGUACAUGUCCAAUUUGUGAUCAGGUGCUCUCAAAAAGCCAUAUGAAACCUAUGGAUAUAAAUCCAGGUGAUGAUUGGACAAAUGUAAGUAUCCCUUUGAUACAUAAUAACAGCUAGAGACUAAUUUUCCUUAUAUCCAUCUUUUUUAAUGAAUGUGCUCGUGGAAACAGAUGGCAAUGCAACCAAUCUUAGAACA